AAGUCGAGCGGACAGAUGGGAGCUUGCUCCCUGAUGUUAGCGGCGGACGGGUGAGUAACACGUGGGUAACCUGCCUGUAAGACUGGGAUAACUCCGGGAAACCGGGGCUAAUACCGGAUGGUUGUCUGAACCGCAUGGUUCAGACAUAAAAGGUGGCUUCGGCUACCACUUACAGAUGGACCCGCGGCGCAUUAGCUAGUUGGUGAGGUAACGGCUCACCAAGGCGACGAUGCGUAGCCGACCUGAGAGGGUGAUCGGCCACACUGGGACUGAGACACGGCCCAGACUCCUACGGGAGGCAGCAGUAGGGAAUCUUCCGCAAUGGACGAAAGUCUGACGGAGCAACGCCGCGUGAGUGAUGAAGGUUUUCGGAUCGUAAAGCUCUGUUGUUAGGGAAGAACAAGUGCCGUUCAAAUAGGGCGGCACCUUGACGGUACCUAACCAGAAAGCCACGGCUAACUACGUGCCAGCAGCCGCGGUAAUACGUAGGUGGCAAGCGUUGUCCGGAAUUAUUGGGCGUAAAGGGCUCGCAGGCGGUUUCUUAAGUCUGAUGUGAAAGCCCCCGGCUCAACCGGGGAGGGUCAUUGGAAACUGGGGAAC
rnacentral:rRNA from 1 species